UAGUCCACGCCGUAAACGAUGUCUACUUGGAGGUUGUGGCCUUGAGCCGUGGCUUUCGGAGCUAACGCGUUAAGUAGACCGCCUGGGGAGUACGGUCGCAAGAUUAAAACUCAAAUGAAUUGACGGGGCCCGCACAAGCGGUGGAGCAUGUGGUUUAAUUCGAUGCAACGCGAAGAACCUUACCUACUCUUGACAUCCAGAGAACUUUCCAGAGAUGGAUUGGUGCCUUCGGGAACUCUGAGACAGGUGCUGCAUGGCUGUCGUCAGCUCGUGUUGUGAAAUGUUGGGUUAAGUCCCGCAACGAGCGCAACCCCUAUCCUUGUUUGCCAGCACGUAAUGGUGGGAACUCCAGGGAGACUGCCGGUGAUAAACCGGAGGAAGGUGGGGACGACGUCAAGGUCAUCAUAGCCUUAUGGGGCUGGGGCUACACACGUGCUACAAUGGUAGAUACAGAGGGCAGCGACCA
rnacentral:rRNA from 1 species